AUGUCAUGUCAGCAGCACAGGUACCAAAAUUGGAACGAUACAGAGAAGUCCAGCAUAGCUCCUGCACAGAAAUUUUUGGAGUGUUCCAUAUUUUU
ensembl:snRNA U6 U6 spliceosomal RNA